rnacentral:rRNA from 1 species
AUGGAGAAAGCGGGCCGAGGACCAGGAGGGCGGUAGUCGACGGGGGCGGAGGUCUGGUGGGCCUGGUCAUGGGCGUGCUGCGUCGUGGCGGCGUGCGUGGCGGCGGUGGGGCUGGCGGGUGCCGGCGUGCUGGUGUGGUGGGCGGUGGCGUUCCACCCGGCGUGGGAGCAGCUCUAGAUGGUGCCCGUCGGGCUCGUCCUCCUCGGCAUGCCGCUUGUCGCUUGGCUCUCCCUCUUUGCCUCCGCCUCGGGACCAGCCUCCUCUGCACGCCGAGCUGCACGGGGAGGAGCCGUGGCCGGAGCUCGCAGUCGCCGCGCGUGGCCGGGGCGGAGCUCACCCGCGCCCGUCUGUGCGUGGCCGGGGCGGCCCACACACGCGCCCGCCUGGGAGCUGCCCUACUCCGGGUUGCGAACGACAUCUCCGUCAAAGCCGAAGCUGACCGCAACAAGGCCGGCGGUUCGCGUGCUCGACGCGGAGCUCGCGCUCGCGCGGCCUGAGCGAGCACGCAUGGCCCGGCGCGGAAAGCGCGCGUGCCCGGCGCGGAGCUCGAGCUCGCGUGGCCGUGGCGGAGCUCGCGCUCGCGCGAAGUUGGAGCGGAGCACGCAUGGCUGA